rnacentral:rRNA from 1 species
UGCGCAGGCGGACUGGUAAGUCAGGGGUGAAAUCUCGGCGCUUAACGCCGAAACUGCCUUUGAUACUAUCAGUCUUGAGUCCGGUAGAGAUCUGUGGAAUUCCGAGUGUAGCAGUGAAAUGUGUAGAUAUUCGGAAGAACACCAGUGGCGAAGGCAGCAGAUUGGGCCGGUACUGACGCUCAGGCACGAAAGCAUGGGGAUCAAACA